GCAGGCGCGAAACCUUUACACUGCACGACAGUGCGAUAGGGGGAUCCCAAGUGCACAGGCAUAGCGCCUGUGCUUUUCGGUACCCUAAGGCGGUACCGGAAUAAGGGCUGGGCAAGACCGGUGCCAGCCGCCGCGGUAAUACCGGCAGCCCAAGUGAUGGCCGAUCUUAUUGGGCCUAAAGCGUCCGUAGCUGGCCGUACAAGUCCAUCGGGAAAUCCACCUGCUCAACAGGUGGGCGCCCGGUAGAAACUGUGCGGCUUGGGACCGGAAGGCGCGACGGGUACGUCCGGGGUAGGAGUGAAAUCCCGUAAUCCUGGACGGACCGCCGAUGGCGAAAGCACGUCGAGAGAACGGAUCCGACAGUGAGGGACGAAAGCCAGGGUCUCGAACCGGAUUAGAUACCCGGGUAGUCCUGGCCGUAAACAAUGUCUGCUAGGUGUGGCUCCCACUACGAGUGGGUGCUGUGCCGUAGGGAAGCCGCUAAGCAGACCGCCUGGGAAGUACGUCCGCAAGGAUGAAACUUAAAGGAAUUGGCGGGGGAGCACUACAACCGGAGGAGCCUGCGGUUUAAUUGGAUUCAACGCCGG
rnacentral:rRNA from 1 species